rnacentral:rRNA from 1 species
GCCUACGGGAGGCAGCAGUGGGGAAUAUUGCACAAUGGGGGGAACCCUGAUGCAGCGACGCCGCGUGGGUGAAGGAGUAUUUCGGUAUGUAAAGCCCUAUCAGCAGGGAAGAACAAUGACGGUACCUGACUAAGAAGCCCCGGCUAACUACGUGCCAGCAGCCGCGGUAAUACGUAGGGGGCAAGCGUUAUCCGGAUUUACUGGGUGUAAAGGGAGCGUAGACGGCAUUACAAGUCCGGAGUGAAAGCCCACGGCCCAACCGUGGGACUGCUCUGGAAACUGUAGAGCUGGAGUGCGGGAGGGGG